CACAGAGCCUAUAACCUGGACGAAUUGGAUCAUGUGAUCACUGAGGGUCUGGCCCCAAUUGCGGCGACACGUUGUUUGUGUUAAGUAAGCACUUGGCGCACAUUAGAAGCUCGUAACAUCUAUCUCCUACAAAUGGGGAAGAAUCUCAAAUUGUCUCUCCAUUUCACUUCUCCUCUUUCCUCCCCCUUAGAAAAUACCCAGCCGUAGCUCUCUCUCUCUCUCUCUCACUCUAUGCUACAACCACUUUUCAUCUUCCUCUCGAAACCCUAACCCUAGUUUCAGCAUUUCAUCUCUCAAAAAUCACCACAAUUUCAAAUUCUUGCAUCUGAUUUCUAUCAAAUCCUGGGAAUUACAAACUUCUGAAUAUCUGGAUAGAGGAGUUGUUGAAUCUGUUGUUGUUUCUCUCGAUUGAGACCCUAGGAUUUUGGCAUUCUGAGUAGGCAGUAGCAGGGCUGGGCCCAAGAUCAAGGAGGUGGACUAAGGUGCAAUCCAUCAUUGGCUAUGGUGGGUUUACUGGAAAAGAAGAUUGAAGAAAUGCAAUUGGAAGAGAUGCAGCUUCAAUUGAAAGAAACUGAAAAGAUGCUAGUGAAGGAACAAGAGGCUAUGGACCGUUGUCACUUUCAAGGCCAUUCUUUUGAUAUUGUAUUAGCCUUUCAGAUGUGGAGUUGGGCGGCACAAGGACUAUUGCAUAAGCUCUUGUAAGGUCCAAACAGGUAGAGUUGGCUAUCAAAACUUCAGAUGAGAAUGCAAACAAGGAUCGAUCAGAGAGAGUUUUCUAGAUGACUGAAAUUGAUGAUCUGCAAGCCCCUCGUGACCUUCCUCUUGCACAACUUUGUAUCAAGAUGUGAAAUAUUUCAGAUUUUUGGUGGAUCUCAACAUACUUUACGUGCAAAACUCACAUUCUCACAAGAAUCACAUGGUAUGACUGAGAUUCCAACCUAUGACUUCGCAAGAAAAUGAAACAUCACAAAGGAAGCUGGACCUAUAAGCAUGAUUUUCACCAUACUAAUAUAUAAUGCUUCAAAGCUUCAGGUGAGUUGGUCUUUUGACUAUAAAGGAAAAUUCUACAUGCUUCUUUCUUCAUUUGUUUCUUUCUUUUUCUUGAGAGGUAAGCUAAGCGAAUCCUAAUUAAUGUUGAAAACACCAUCUACAAAACAUUGAGUUA